rnacentral:rRNA from 1 species
GACGAACGCUGGCGGCGUGCCUAAUACAUGCAAGUAGAACGCACAGUUUAUACCGUAGCUUGCUACACCAUAAACUGUGAGUUGCGAACGGGUGAGUAACGCGUAGGUAACCUGCCUGGUAGCGGUGGAUAACUAUUGGAAACGAUAGCUAAUAUCGCAUAAUAUUAAUUAUUGCAUGAUAAUUGAUUGAAAUAUUCAAUUGCAUCACUACCAGAUGGACCUGCGUUGUAUUAGCUAGUAGGUGAGGUAACGGCUCACCUAGGCGAAGGUACAUAGCCGACCUGGGAGGGUGAUCGGCCAAACUGGGACUGAGACACGGCCCAGACUUCUACGGGAGGCAGCAGUAGGGAAUCUUCGGCAAUGGGCGAAAGUCUGACCGGGGCACGCCGGGUGGGGGGAGAAGGUUUUCGGAUCGGAAAGAUCUGUUGUAAGGGGAGAACGGGAGUGAGAGUGGAAAGUUCACACUGUGACGGUAUCUUACCAGAAAGGGACGGCUAACUACGUG